CUACGGGUUGCUGCAGUGGGGAAUAUUGGGCAAUGGGCGCAAGCCUGACCCAGCAACGCCGCGUGAGGGAAGAAGGUUUUCGGAUUGUAAACCUCUGUCCUUGGGGACGAAGAAGUGACGGUACCCAAGGAGGAAGCUCCGGCUAACUACGUGCCAGCAGCCGCGGUAAUACGUAGGGAGCAAGUGUUGUCCGGAAUUACUGGGCGUAAAGGGUGCGUAGGCGGCAUAUUAAGUCAGGUGUGAAAUACUCGGGCUCAACCCGGGGGCUGCAUUUGAAACUGAUAUGCUUGAGUGUGAGAGAGGAAAGUGGAAUUCCUAGUGUAGCGGUGGAAUGCGUAGAUAUUAGGAGGAACACCAGUGGCGAAGGCGACUUUCUGGCUCAUAACUGACGCUGAGGCACGAAAGCGUGGGGAGCAAACAGGAUUAGAUACCCUGGUAGUC
rnacentral:rRNA from 1 species